GAUGAACGCUGGCGGCGUGCCUAACACAUGCAAGUCGAGCGAACCCUUCGGGGUGAGCGGCGGACGGGUGAGUAACGCGUGGGUAACCUGCCCUAUACACACGGAUAACGUACCGAAAGGUACGCUAAUACGGGAUAAAGUUGUUGGAUGGCAUCUUCUAACAAUCAAAGCUCCGGCGGUAUAGGAUGGACCCGCGUCUGAUUAGCUAGUUGGUGAGGUAAUGGCUCACCAAGGCGACGAUCAGUAGCCGACCUGAGAGGGUGAUCGGCCACACUGGAACUGAGACACGGUCCAGACUCCUACGGGAGGCAGCAGUGGGGAAUAUUGCACAAUGGGCGAAAGCCUGAUGCAGCAACGCCGCGUGAGCGAUGAAGGUCUUCGGAUCGUAAAGCUCUGUCCUCAAGGAAGAUAAUGACGGUACUUGAGGAGGAAGCCCCGGCUAGCUACGUGCCAGCCGCCGCGGUAA
rnacentral:rRNA from 1 species